AAGGCCCUUCUGCUUUGGAAACAGAGCCAGCCCCACUGGAGAAGAGCUCUGCUGGGCCAGGGGAGCAGCUCCUCCUUCCCUGCUAAGAACAGAGCCCAGGGAGCUUGCAGUCCCCUUUGCAACCCCUUUUACCCCUUUGCCUGGUUGGCAUCACCAGCCCUCACCAUGGGCUCUGCAAUGCUUUGUUACAGGUAAAGCCGUGCAGCCAAAGCAGCCCUGAGGCUGCUGCGGGGUCGCAUCCCUGCAGUCCCACAGCCCCUCCGGAGCCUUCUGAGCCAUCCCAGGGCCAGCAGGGCAGGGCAGAAGCUGACAGUGCUGGGGUCCCAGCAGAAGAUCUCAUAGAGCCCAAGGUAGAACCCAGAGACGCUUCCUCCUAUACCUGCAUCAAACCAGAGACCUCACCAGGGACCCAGCACCCUCCUGGAUCCAGUGAGGUGAAACCGGCUGCAGGUGACUCACACCAGCUCUGCUCCAAGCUCCCAAACCCCUGUGCAGACAGCACGGACCUCG